rnacentral:misc_RNA from 1 species
AACGCACCUUGCACCUUAUGGUAUUCCGUAAGGUAUGCCCGUUUGAGUGUCAUUGAAUCAUCAAACCUACAACAUUUCGUUGCUAGUGGCUUGGUUAUGAGGGUUUUUGCGGGCUCUCUUCACGAGUCGGCUCCCUUUAAAUUCAUUAGCGAGACUUCCCUUUGCUGAACCGUCUCUGGCGUGAUAAUUAUCUGCGUCAAAGUCGCGGUUCUCGUCGGGCUUGCUUCUAAUAGUCUCUUGACUCGAGACGAUUAGGAUUUGAGCGCAUAUAUGCGCACAUUUCUGAACUCUUUUGACCUCAAAUCGGGUAGGACUACCCGCUGAACUUAA